GAGUUAUAGAAUUAAUCCCUAAUUUAGGAAGUGGUUAGUUGAAAUGGAAUGAGAUUGGUUAGAAGCAAACCAAAUGGCAAUAUUGUAGUUAUGACUUAGUUGGAGGAUAAAUUGGACAUUUAUCUCUAUUUGCAUGGGCUUAAGGCUAGUAGGUAAGACAUUAGUGUCUCCAACUCAGAUUGUUAGUAAGAAAGGAAGAUGGGAGAGCUUAGAAGCAAGUAGGAGAAAGAGGAAUCAUGUCCAUUUAUUCCAUUUUCGUAUUCCCAUGGCAGCCUCCACUAAAUCAGCUUUUGUUUCGAAGGAGAAAACUGACCUUGAAGUUGUGUCAGUGAUGCUGAAAGUGGGUACAAGUGUGAUUACGGAUUUGAUGAAGAUGGAGUGAAACUUUGGCUAUGGUGGGAGUCCAAUGGCAGCAAACAACAUCUUUCUAAACCUCCAUUUUAGCAAGGUGAGUCCUUUAGAUAGAACUUGGGUAGGAUUUGGGGAAGAAUGCAUGUCAAGGGUUUAGAUUGAGAUAAACAUAUUGCAUGCUUAAAUGAAUGAUAAAUGUGAUAAAUUGCUAAUUGGUAAUUUUAUGUAAUGCAUGCUUGAUUAAUGCUUAGAUUGUGUUUUAUGUAUGUAAUGUGUAUAUUAGAUCACUAUUGCAUGUUGGAAAUUCGUUCAGAAUUGAAUCAUGAUGAUUGGAAUUGAUAUAGGACAAUUGGGACUGGUUUAGAGCUCCUAAAAAUGCAGAAAAAUAGUUCUGGUUCAGUGUAACCGGUUACGGGUUUUGGUGUAACCGGUUACGCUGUUGAAAAUUGGAAAUCUGGGCAUUUUUCGUGCCCGUAACCGAUUACGGUUUUGGCGUAACCCGUUACGCUGAGCAAAAAUGCAAAAUCAGCAAACUUUAGAAAGUCAUAACUUUUGGCUCGGGUAUCGGAAUUGCGCAAACUUUAUAUCGUUGGAAAGCUAGCGACGUGUACUUUCUAAUUAAAUAGGUCCCCAAACCAGAAUUAUUGAUUUAAUAAUAGUGGAGCCCCACUUAGUGAAUCAACGAAUUAGUAUGGGAACUUAUGUCUUUACCAAUUGAAUAAUAAUUCUUGUGUUAAGCAUGGCAUGGUUGUUUAUUGCUUAUUGUGAUGUGAUAUCCAUAAUUGAGAAUGUUAUGCCAUUAUGUUUUAUACAUGAAAAUCCUGCUAACACCGUCGUUUUGGUUAAACGAUCGGUACUGAUUGUAUUGUGUGAUUGACGCUUGUUAUGCGUGUGGUAUGCUAGAAUCGAAGUAGACCCGGUACUAAGUUACGAUUCGGACCGUGGGUCCUUGAGUUGUCUGUGGGACUGCCCUGAUCUUGGAUCCCAGAGGCACAUACCUGAACUACCGUUGCAGUGUGCUUGUGAGGGCCUGAAGGCGUUUUACACACUUGCUGUAUACACACUCGCGUGCUCGGUAUGAUGGCGUUAUGCGGCUAAGUAAGCCUACGCAUAACAGGUAAACCAUCUCUAAUGAUGCCAUGUAGGCUACAUCAUUAGGUUCCUAUCCGGAUGGGCUCAUGCGUCAAGACGGCGUGUUGCACUUGCUGUUAACACCACGUGCGUACAGAUGGUUAAUGGGACGAUGUCGCCUCUUAGGCAAGGUCAUCUCGCAGCCAUGUAGGCUUGUGCGAACCCAUUUAAUCAUUCUUGCAGGGUGCUUGUGUAAGUCUCUUGACAAAUAGGCAUGGGUGAACCCACCGAGGGUGUGUUAGUAACUUAGUCUAGUGGUAUUAACGUACUUCUGGAUUCCCCGUACAUGGGUAUGGGUCUGCAUACGUGUUUGUUGUACUGUUUGUGUACUAUGAUGUGAUGACUCCUAUGGUGGACGAUUCAUGUGUUUACUCCGUACUUGUACCGGAUGUGAGGAUAAACCCCGGAUCAAUGGUGGAUUCGGUUUGUGAUGCAUGUACCCUGUAGAGCCGAGUGGACUCAUAGGAUAGGAGGACUCACUGAGAUUUAGUAAUCUCACCCCAAUCAACUUAUAUUUUUUUCAGGUGCAGUUUAGUAGUGGUUGGUCAGUAGCAGGUUUGGAUUGAAGACUUGGAAGUGGUGAUGGCUCGAAGACCGUGUUGGUUUUGACAUUCCGCUGUGCAAGAUCCAUUGAAGACUCAUGUAUUAUGCUUCUUAGUAGAAUUGCAUGUUGUAUUUUAUAUGGAUCUUUCUAUAACUAUAGCUUUUGUACGUACUCAAUAUCAAUUUUAACGUUUCAUGCAUAAUAUACUAGUCAGUUAUGUAUGGGGUGUUACAGUUGGUAUCAGAGCAGGUCGAUUCUCGGCCGAGCCAUGAGACAUCACUAGCAAUUCUUUUUCCUCCUCUCAAGUGUGCGUUGCUAGCCUGAUUUUACUGAUAUCUCAUUCAGUUGUUGAACUUGAUCAACUCAUCGACUGAGUGUGAGACAGUAGGAUUACGGCAGAGCCGCCACGAGGACUCGUAAACCUGUAAGUGUUGUGAACCCAAGUAGUUGAAGUGGGAUGAGUAAUGGAUUUUUUUUUUUGGAUGUUGUAAGUGGAUAAUAUUGGAGUCGUCAAGCUUAAGGAGAGCGUAUGACGCGAAGUAGUGAUACCCGAACUGUCGAGAUGUGGAUGGAGACAACUAGAACCCCCAGGAUUUUGACUGAACGAAGUGAAUAUUUCUCUAAGUCUUGGUAAUAGCAAGGGAAAUCCAAAUAGGAAUUAGUAGGAGCCUUGUAAGGGAGAUUCUUCGAAGGUGUUGAGCUGUGAAUUAGUAGGAUUCAGUACUGAUGAUGCUGUCGGUGUUAAAUGUGACGGGUGAGCUGAUAGGACAAAAUGGCCUCUGGAAAUGCGGACAGAAGAGUUAGACCUUUCUGAUUGCGCUGGUACGGACAGUAAUUGGAUGGAUGAAGUAUUAGAUCCCGAUCCAACUCGAAGUACCCUAAGCGAGAGUAGUUACCUAGUAGAUGUUGGUGGAAUGUAUGAGUGUGGUAACUUAAGAUUGGCGAAGCUUGAAUACCUUGUCGGUGGAAGAGGGCAUGCAUUUCCGUUCUUAUCAUUUUGUAUUUAAGUUCUAAAACUACGCUAGAUGGAAUAUGAAAUGAUGUAGAAGCGUGAAAUGCAAUAACCUAAGUUCUUGUUAGUUGUUGUUCGUCUGACCCCGAGUGAAGCCAUAGAACUACGCUUGGCGUUGGGCGUUCAGGCGAGCAAGAACUAAGAUCUAUCUGGAACGUCAGUAGGAUGACCGCAGUUGAGUUGGUUGUUAGGAACCAUAGUAUGCCUAUCUGGACUGAAUUAUCCUUGGAAUCUCAUGCAUGCGUGGGACGAGUGGGUAUGCGCACUGCAUGGUAAUCCGAAGUUGAACUUCAAACCUUCGGGUUUGGCGUUUUGGCUUUCCGAGUAAGUAAACCUUGAUGUGUAACACUCUCAGGUUUUAGCAUCCUGAGGAGUGUGGUUCGAAGGACUUGAGGAACGAAGAACCUAUUGGAGGUCUGUUCAGACACUUGUCAGUUGCGACUAUAGGAUACACGUGGGGAUCAUUAUACGCCACUGAGGUAGGUUACCUGGAUACAUGGCCUCGGAGUUGGACCACCAUGUUGGUACUACCAGACGGGUAUAAUGCCACAGUAUCGCUAUCGUGCACAAGAUGCGUGAGUAAUCCUUUUUCCGACAUGUGUGGGACAAAGGUGAUCCGAAGCUCAAGGUAGAAUUCUGAUUUGGCACUCGUGAGACACAAAUCCAAACUCUCAUAAGGUAUGUGGGAUAAGGAUCCAUAUGUCGUGCUCGAUAGUAGAGGAAUAACUAGACAGCCGAUGGUGAAAUGGAUCAAGAUCCAAUACUAUACUUAUGGAGACCCUGAGUGAUCGUGAUCGCGUGAGUUAGUAUCAGAUUGUACCUUGGGGACGUUCUCGUUUCGUGAAGUGUUAAGUUGGCAAUUUUGCAUGAGUGUCUAGAGUAGGACUCAUGUGCGGUCAUGAUACCCUGGUAAGCAUGGUGAGUGGCUAUCAUGUACCAUUGGCGACCGGUGAUAGAAUAUUUGAAUUAUAUCUUGGAUCGACUCGAUGUGUGAGGUGUCUGGUAAGGUAUUGCUAGAUACUCUGAAUGGAGAAGUGUUAAUCUUGGUAAAGCAUGGACAUUUUGGUUUAGGAACUGCUAAGGAGUUUAUAAGAGAGAUGUUCGAGUGCAAAGUGCAAUUUCUUGCAUUGUGGCUACACUCUGACUGUUAGAAGCACCGCAAUGAAGGAUGCAGCCGCCGAGGAAGUCAGUUUAGGUCAGAGGUGGAACAGACAUUAGAUGACUGUGUGAAUAGAGUGUGGCUAUGGGUGGAUUGUUAUAUCUGUAAGUCGCACGAGUUAUCAGAGGUGAUACUACGCUAAGAGAAUGAAGGUGUAUGUUUGGGUAGAAGUUGUGUAAAACUGCUAGAGUUAUCAUGAGCUGCAGUACAUCGUGAAGGGUUCGAAAUACCGGUUGAGCAACAAGAUUUGUUGGAAUGACAAACAUAGCAGAUGUACGUUGUAGAAAUCAGUGACAAGGACGAACCUCUAAGCCAGUGAAUUUUUGGGUUUCAAUGUCCUAAGAUAGAAACGUGUACCUAAGUUGUGGUAGAUGAACUAUAUGGAAUGACAGAGUAAGUAGAAGCUUGAUUCUGGAAAGUACGCAACUUCAAAGAGUUGUAGUCGAUGAUGGAUGUAUAUAGAGUUCUGGCACGUGUUGUAAUUGGACGACUGUAGAUAAGGAUUAUUGUGUAUUAAUGGGAACUAAGUGAAUUAUGGAUAUAAUGUGACUCAGAGGAUUUCAAGGUGUGACUUGUUGGGAUCAGAGUAGCGCAACGGAUCAAGGGAGAAUCAGAUAAGUCUGAGGUAGGAACGAACGGACUGUUUUUGGGACUUUACGUUGGGAUGAAAGUAUCUUCCUAAGGGAAAUUGUCGAAGCAGCAUUUUGUUCGUUCUAGUUUCUCAAGGAUCACCAUAAACUCGAGAGGUGUUAUCUAUGGACCAGCUUGGGAAUACUUUUUGUGGAUGGCAUGCAGUACGACGUUCGUAGGUCAUCAGUUUAGCUUGCAGGUCACAAGGGUUGGACUGCGUAUCAGACCGUCGAAAUGCUGAAGGCUAGAGAGGACAUUCAGUUGGCGCAAGUUCUUUGUGGUUAUGCCUUGUGUACUAUGAUUGUACAGGAAGACUGGUACAAUGGUUACAGGUCAGUUGUUGAAUUCCGCGUCUUAUCAGUAGAAUCUUGUUCGAAGUUGUCGAAUGUCAAGGCGAUAGUUGCAAGACGAUUACACCUUCGCGGUUUACGGUGAUAGUUGUAUAGGUAAAGGUAAAUUUGGGACAAUCAUCCUAAGAUUUUGGGAACCGGAAAUUAAGACCAAGGAAUUUGGCUAACACCUAAUGACAUUAUAUGGACUCGAGUGGAGAAUAAUUUGAAGUGUUAUCGCGGAAGCGACGUUGUGGCAGUAAUUCUCGAAUAGGAAGUAAUUCAAGGAGCUGAGUGAAUCAGUAAUGGUUGUUGAAUGAGGGUGAGCAUGUCAGAGAUUGAACGACGGAUAUCCGACAUGAGUGGAUUAUUAGGAUUACUGAAGUCAUGGAAGUCCAGUAUAGAGCAGUAAAGGCCUAGGACCCUGGAAGGAUCUUUUCCCAGGUAUGUCAAGACGGAGUACCUGAAUAGACGUGUUGCUUGAGAGUUAAGGUUUCUAAUCAUGUAUAGUGGGACACAAGUGUUUUGGCAGAAUAUGUUUCUUCAUAUGGAAUGACCCUCAUACAGAGUAGUGAGAUUAUCUAAAGCGAAAGGUAAGGAACAUUUCUUCCCCUGACUGGUAUAGAUUUGGACAUGUUGUUUCCAUGGUGACUGGAAAGAAUUCGAGGACGAAUUCAAUUUAAGGGGGGGAGAAUGUAAUAUCCCAUAUUAAUCCAAGCAAGAUUAUAUAUGUUUAUGAAGUGCCAAGAAGGAGUUAUAGAAUUAAUCCCUAAUUUAGGAAGUGGUUAGUUGAAAUGGAAUGAGAUUGGUUAGAAGCAAACCAAAUGGCAAUAUUGUAGUUAUGACUUAGUUGGAGGAUAAAUUGGACAUUUAUCUCUAUUUGCAUGGGCUUAAGGCUAGUAGGUAAGACAUUAGUGUCUCCAACUCAGAUUGUUAGUAAGAAAGGAAGAUGGGAGAGCUUAGAAGCAAGUAGGAGAAAGAGGAAUCAUGUCCAUCUAUUCCAUUUUCGUAUUCCCAUGGCAGCCUCCACUAAAUCAGGUAUAUCUCUCAACUCGUAACUCCGAUCGUAACGAUUCCGGUCCCAUUGGAUAGCUAACGAAUUUCUCUUCAAUUUGCACCUAUGGUUCGCGUUCAUAGCUUCUGUUUCGAAGGAGAAAACUGACCUUGAAGUUGUGUCAGUGAUGCUGAAAGUGGGUACAAGUGUGAUUACGGAUUUGAUGAAGAUGGAGUGAAACUUUGGCUAUGGUGGGAGUCCAAUGGCAGCAAACAACAUCUUUCUAAACCUCCAUUUUAGCAAGGUGAGUCCUUUAGAUAGAACUUGGGUAGGAUUUGGGGAAGAAUGCAUGUCAAGGGUUUAGAUUGAGAUAAACAUAUUGCAUGCUUAAAUGAAUGAUAAAUGUGAUAAAUUGCUAAUUGGUAAUUUUAUGUAAUGCAUGCUUGAUUAAUGCUUAGAUUGUGUUUUAUGUAUGUAAUGUGUACAUUAGAUCACUAUUGCAUGUUGGAAAUUCGUUCAGAAUUGAAUCAUGAUGAUUGGAAUUGAUAUAGGACAAUUGGGACUGGUUUAGAGCUCCUAAAAAUGCAGAAAAAUAGUUCUGGUUCAGUGUAACCGGUUACGGGUUUUGGUGUAACCGGUUACGCUGUUGAAAAUUGGAAAUCUGGGCAUUUUUCGUGCCCGUAACCGGUUACGGUUUUGGCGUAACCCGUUACGCUGAGCAAAAGUGCAAAAUCAGCAAACUUUAGAAAGUCAUAACUUUUGGCUCGGGUAUCGGAAUUGCGCAAACUUUAUAUCGUUGAAAAGCUAGCGACGUGUACUUUCUAAUUAAAUAGGUCCCCAAACCAGAAUUAUUGAUUUAAUAAUAGUGGAGCCCCACUUAGUGAAUCAACGAAUUAGUAUGGGAACUUAUGUCUUUACCAAUUGAAUAAUAAUUCUUGUGUUAAGCAUGGCAUGGUUGUUUAUUGCUUAUUGUGAUGUGAUAUCCAUAAUUGAGAAUGUUAUGCCAUUAUGUUUUAUACAUGAAAAUCCUGCUAACACCGUCGUUUUGGUUAAAUGAUCGGUACUGAUUGUAUUGUGUGAUUGACGCUUGUUAUGCGUGUGGUAUGCUAGAAUCGAAGUAGACCCGGUACUAAGUUACGAUUCGGACCGUGGGUCCUUGAGUUGUCUGUGGGACUGCCCUGAUCUUGGAUCCCAGAGGCACAUACCUGAACUACCGUUGCAGUGUGCUUGUGAGGGCCUGAAGGCGUUUUACUCACUUGCUGUAUACACACUCGCGUGCUCGGUAUGAUGGCGUUAUGCGGCUAAGUAAGCCUACGCAUAACAGGUAAACCAUCUCUAAUGAUGCCAUGUAGGCUACAUCAUUAGGUUCCUAUCCGGAUGGGCUCAUGCGUCAAGACGGCGUGUUGCACUUGCUGUUAACACCACGUGCGUACAGAUGGUUAAUGGGACGAUGUCGCCUCUUAGGCAAGGUCAUCUCGCAGCCAUGUAGGCUUGUGCGAACCCAUUUAAUCAUUCUUGCAGGGUGCUUGUGUAAGUCUCUUGACAAAUAGGCAUGGGUGAACCCACCGAGGGUGUGUUAGUAACUUAGUCUAGUGGUAUUAACGUACUUCUGGAUUCCCCGUACAUGGGUAUGGGUCUGCAUACGUGUUUGUUGUACUGUUUGUGUACUAUGAUGUGAUGACUCCUAUGGUGGACGAUUCAUGUGUUUACUCCGUACUUGUACCGGAUGUGAGGAUAAACCCCGGAUCAAUGGUGGAUUCGGUUUGUGAUGCAUGUACCCUGUAGAGCCGAGUGGACCCAUCGGAUAGGAGGACUCACUGAGAUUUAGUAAUCUCACCCCAAUCAACUUAUAUUUUUUUCAGGUGCAGUUUAGUAGUGGUUGGUCAGUAGCAGGUUUGGAUUGAAGACUUGGAAGUGGUGAUGGCUCGAAGACCGUGUUGGUUUUGACAUUCCGCUGUGCAAGAUCCAUUGAAGACUCAUGUAUUAUGCUUCUUAGUAGAAUUGCAUGUUGUAUUUUAUAUGGAUCUUUCUAUAACUAUAGCUUUUGUACGUACUCAAUAUCAAUUUUAACGUUUCAUGCAUAAUAUACUAGUCAGUUAUGUAUGGGGUGUUACAGUUGGUAUCAGAGCAGGUCGAUUCUCGGCCGAGCCAUGAGACAUCACUAGCAAUUCUUUUUCCUCCUCUCAAGUGUGCGUUGCUAGCCUGAUUUUACUGAUAUCUCAUUCAGUUGUUGAACUUGAUCAACUCAUCGACUGAGUGUGAGACAGUAGGAUUACGGCAGAGCCGCCACGAGGACUCGUAAACCUGUAAGUGUUGUGAACCCAAGUAGUUGAAGUGGGAUGAGUAAUGGAUUUUUUUUUUUUGGAUGUUGUAAGUGGAUAAUAUUGGAGUCGUCAAGCUUAAGGAGAGCGUAUGACGCGAAGUAGUGAUACCCGAACUGUCGAGAUGUGGAUGGAGACAACUAGAACCCCCAGGAUUUUGACUGAACGAAGUGAAUAUUUCUCUAAGUCUUGGUAAUAGCAAGGGAAAUCCAAAUAGGAAUUAGUAGGAGCCUUGUAAGGGAGAUUCUUCGAAGGUGUUGAGCUGUGAAUUAGUAGGAUUCAGUACUGAUGAUGCUGUCGGUGUUAAAUGUGACGGGUGAGCUGAUAGGACAAAAUGGCCUCUGGAAAUGCGGACAGAAGAGUUAGACCUUUCUGAUUGCGCUGGUACGGACAGUAAUUGGAUGGAUGAAGUAUUAGAUCCCGAUCCAACUCGAAGUACCCUAAGCGAGAGUAGUUACCUAGUAGAUGUUGGUGGAAUGUAUGAGUGUGGUAACUUAAGAUUGGCGAAGCUUGAAUACCUUGUCGGUGGAAGAGGGCAUGCAUUUCCGUUCUUAUCAUUUUGUAUUUAAGUUCUAAAACUACGCUAGAUGGAAUAUGAAAUGAUGUAGAAGCGUGAAAUGCAAUAACCUAAGUUCUUGUUAGUUGUUGUUCGUCUGACCCCGAGUGAAGCCAUAGAACUACGCUUGGCGUUGGGCGUUCAGGCGAGCAAGAACUAAGAUCUAUCUGGAACGUCAGUAGGAUGACCGCAGUUGAGUUGGUUGUUAGGAACCAUAGUAUGCCUAUCUGGACUGAAUUAUCCUUGGAAUCUCAUGCAUGCGUGGGACGAGUGGGUAUGCGCACUGCAUGGUAAUCCGAAGUUGAACUUCAAACCUUCGGGUUUGGCGUUUUGGCUUUCCGAGUAAGUAAACCUUGAUGUGUAACACUCUCAGGUUUUAGCAUCCUGAGGAGUGUGGUUCGAAGGACUUGAGGAACGAAGAACCUAUUGGAGGUCUGUUCAGACACUUGUCAGUUGCGACUAUAGGAUACACGUGGGGAUCAUUAUACGCCACUGAGGUAGGUUACCUGGAUACAUGGCCUCGGAGUUGGACCACCAUGUUGGUACUACCAGACGGGUAUAAUGCCACAGUAUCGCUAUCGUGCACAAGAUGCGUGAGUAAUCCUUUUUCCGACAUGUGUGGGACAAAGGUGAUCCGAAGCUCAAGGUAGAAUUCUGAUUUGGCACUCGUGAGACACAAAUCCAAACUCUCAUAAGGUAUGUGGGAUAAGGAUCCAUAUGUCGUGCUCGAUAGUAGAGGAAUAACUAGACAGCCGAUGGUGAAAUGGAUCAAGAUCCAAUACUAUACUUAUGGAGACCCUGAGUGAUCGUGAUCGCGUGAGUUAGUAUCAGAUUGUACCUUGGGGACGUUCUCGUUUCGUGAAGUGUUAAGUUGGCAAUUUUGCAUGAGUGUCUAGAGUAGGACUCAUGUGCGGUCAUGAUACCCUGGUAAGCAUGGUGAGUGGCUAUCAUGUACCAUUGGCGACCGGUGAUAGAAUAUUUGAAUUAUAUCUUGGAUCGACUCGAUGUGUGAGGUGUCUGGUAAGGUAUUGCUAGAUACUCUGAAUGGAGAAGUGUUAAUCUUGGUAAAGCAUGGACAUUUUGGUUUAGGAACUGCUAAGGAGUUUAUAAGAGAGAUGUUCGAGUGCAAAGUGCAAUUUCUUGCAUUGUGGCUACACUCUGACUGUUAGAAGCACCGCAAUGAAGGAUGCAGCCGCCGAGGAAGUCAGUUUAGGUCAGAGGUGGAACAGACAUUAGAUGACUGUGUGAAUAGAGUGUGGCUAUGGGUGGAUUGUUAUAUCUGUAAGUCGCACGAGUUAUCAGAGGUGAUACUACGCUAAGAGAAUGAAGGUGUAUGUUUGGGUAGAAGUUGUGUAAAACUGCUAGAGUUAUCAUGAGCUGCAGUACAUCGUGAAGGGUUCGAAAUACCGGUUGAGCAACAAGAUUUGUUGGAAUGACAAACAUAGCAGAUGUACGUUGUAGAAAUCAGUGACAAGGACGAACCUCUAAGCCAGUGAAUUUUUGGGUUUCAAUGUCCUAAGAUAGAAACGUGUACCUAAGUUGUGGUAGAUGAACUAUAUGGAAUGACAGAGUAAGUAGAAGCUUGAUUCUGGAAAGUACGCAACUUCAAAGAGUUGUAGUCGAUGAUGGAUGUAUAUAGAGUUCUGGCACGUGUUGUAAUUGGACGACUGUAGAUAAGGAUUAUUGUGUAUUAAUGGGAACUAAGUGAAUUAUGGAUAUAAUGUGACUCAGAGGAUUUCAAGGUGUGACUUGUUGGGAUCAGAGUAGCGCAACGGAUCAAGGGAGAAUCAGAUAAGUCUGAGGUAGGAACGAACGGACUGUUUUUGGGACUUUACGUUGGGAUGAAAGUAUCUUCCUAAGGGAAAUUGUCGAAGCAGCAUUUUGUUCGUUCUAGUUUCUCAAGGAUCACCAUAAACUCGAGAGGUGUUAUCUAUGGACCAGCUUGGGAAUACUUUUUGUGGAUGGCAUGCAGUACGACGUUCGUAGGUCAUCAGUUUAGCUUGCAGGUCACAAGGGUUGGACUGCGUAUCAGACCGUCGAAAUGCUGAAGGCUAGAGAGGACAUUCAGUUGGCGCAAGUUCUUUGUGGUUAUGCCUUGUGUACUAUGAUUGUACAGGAAGACUGGUACAAUGGUUACAGGUCAGUUGUUGAAUUCCGCGUCUUAUCAGUAGAAUCUUGUUCGAAGUUGUCGAAUGUCAAGGCGAUAGUUGCAAGACGAUUACACCUUCGCGGUUUACGGUGAUAGUUGUAUAGGUAAAGGUAAAUUUGGGACAAUCAUCCUAAGAUUUUGGGAACCGGAAAUUAAGACCAAGGAAUUUGGCUAACACCUAAUGACAUUAUAUGGACUCGAGUGGAGAAUAAUUUGAAGUGUUAUCGCGGAAGCGACGUUGUGGCAGUAAUUCUCGAAUAGGAAGUAAUUCAAGGAGCUGAGUGAAUCAGUAAUGGUUGUUGAAUGAGGGUGAGCAUGUCAGAGAUUGAACGACGGAUAUCCGACAUGAGUGGAUUAUUAGGAUUACUGAAGUCAUGGAAGUCCAGUAUAGAGCAGUAAAGGCCUAGGACCCUGGAAGGAUCUUUUCCCAGGUAUGUCAAGACGGAGUACCUGAAUAGACGUGUUGCUUGAGAGUUAAGGUUUCUAAUCAUGUAUAGUGGGACACAAGUGUUUUGGCAGAAUAUGUUUCUUCAUAUGGAAUGACCCUCAUACAGAGUAGUGAGAUUAUCUAAAGCGAAAGGUAAGGAACAUUUCUUCCCCUGACUGGUAUAGAUUUGGACAUGUUGUUUCCAUGGUGACUGGAAAGAAUUCGAGGACGAAUUCAAUUUAAGGGGGGGAGAAUGUAAUAUCCCAUAUUAAUCCAAGCAAGAUUAUAUAUGUUUAUGAAGUGCCAAGAAGGAGUUAUAGAAUUAAUCCCUAAUUUAGGAAGUGGUUAGUUGAAAUGGAAUGAGAUUGGUUAGAAGCAAACCAAAUGGCAAUAUUGUAGUUAUGACUUAGUUGGAGGAUAAAUUGGACAUUUAUCUCUAUUUGCAUGGGCUUAAGGCUAGUAGGUAAGACAUUAGUGUCUCCAACUCAGAUUGUUAGUAAGAAAGGAAGAUGGGAGAGCUUAGAAGCAAGUAGGAGAAAGAGGAAUCAUGUCCAUCUAUUCCAUUUUCGUAUUCCCAUGGCAGCCUCCACUAAAUCAGCUUCUGUUUCGAAGGAGAAAACUGACCUUGAAGUUGUGUCAGUGAUGCUGAAAGUGGGUACAAGUGUGAUUACGGAUUUGAUGAAGAUGGAGUGAAACUUUGGCUAUGGUGGGAGUCCAAUGGCAGCAAACAACAUCUUUCUAAACCUCCAUUUUAGCAAGGUGAGUCCUUUAGAUAGAACUUGGGUAGGAUUUGGGGAAGAAUGCAUGUCAAGGGUUUAGAUUGAGAUAAACAUAUUGCAUGCUUAAAUGAAUGAUAAAUGUGAUAAAUUGCUAAUUGGUAAUUUUAUGUAAUGCAUGCUUGAUUAAUGCUUAGAUUGUGUUUUAUGUAUGUAAUGUGUACAUUAGAUCACUAUUGCAUGUUGGAAAUUCGUUCAGAAUUGAAUCAUGAUGAUUGGAAUUGAUAUAGGACAAUUGGGACUGGUUUAGAGCUCCUAAAAAUGCAGAAAAAUAGUUCUGGUUCAGUGUAACCGGUUACGGGUUUUGGUGUAACCGGUUACGCUGUUGAAAAUUGGAAAUCUGGGCAUUUUUCGUGCCCGUAACCGGUUACGGUUUUGGCGUAACCCGUUACGCUGAGCAAAAGUGCAAAAUCAGCAAACUUUAGAAAGUCAUAACUUUUGGCUCGGGUAUCGGAAUUGCGCAAACUUUAUAUCGUUGAAAAGCUAGCGACGUGUACUUUCUAAUUAAAUAGGUCCCCAAACCAGAAUUAUUGAUUUAAUAAUAGUGGAGCCCCACUUAGUGAAUCAACGAAUUAGUAUGGGAACUUAUGUCUUUACCAAUUGAAUAAUAAUUCUUGUGUUAAGCAUGGCAUGGUUGUUUAUUGCUUAUUGUGAUGUGAUAUCCAUAAUUGAGAAUGUUAUGCCAUUAUGUUUUAUACAUGAAAAUCCUGCUAACACCGUCGUUUUGGUUAAAUGAUCGGUACUGAUUGUAUUGUGUGAUUGACGCUUGUUAUGCGUGUGGUAUGCUAGAAUCGAAGUAGACCCGGUACUAAGUUACGAUUCGGACCGUGGGUCCUUGAGUUGUCUGUGGGACUGCCCUGAUCUUGGAUCCCAGAGGCACAUACCUGAACUACCGUUGCAGUGUGCUUGUGAGGGCCUGAAGGCGUUUUACUCACUUGCUGUAUACACACUCGCGUGCUCGGUAUGAUGGCGUUAUGCGGCUAAGUAAGCCUACGCAUAACAGGUAAACCAUCUCUAAUGAUGCCAUGUAGGCUACAUCAUUAGGUUCCUAUCCGGAUGGGCUCAUGCGUCAAGACGGCGUGUUGCACUUGCUGUUAACACCACGUGCGUACAGAUGGUUAAUGGGACGAUGUCGCCUCUUAGGCAAGGUCAUCUCGCAGCCAUGUAGGCUUGUGCGAACCCAUUUAAUCAUUCUUGCAGGGUGCUUGUGUAAGUCUCUUGACAAAUAGGCAUGGGUGAACCCACCGAGGGUGUGUUAGUAACUUAGUCUAGUGGUAUUAACGUACUUCUGGAUUCCCCGUACAUGGGUAUGGGUCUGCAUACGUGUUUGUUGUACUGUUUGUGUACUAUGAUGUGAUGACUCCUAUGGUGGACGAUUCAUGUGUUUACUCCGUACUUGUACCGGAUGUGAGGAUAAACCCCGGAUCAAUGGUGGAUUCGGUUUGUGAUGCAUGUACCCUGUAGAGCCGAGUGGACUCAUAGGAUAGGAGGACUCACUGAGAUUUAGUAAUCUCACCCCAAUCAACUUAUAUUUUUUUCAGGUGCAGUUUAGUAGUGGUUGGUCAGUAGCAGGUUUGGAUUGAAGACUUGGAAGUGGUGAUGGCUCGAAGACCGUGUUGGUUUUGACAUUCCGCUGUGCAAGAUCCAUUGAAGACUCAUGUAUUAUGCUUCUUAGUAGAAUUGCAUGUUGUAUUUUAUAUGGAUCUUUCUAUAACUAUAGCUUUUGUACGUACUCAAUAUCAAUUUUAACGUUUCAUGCAUAAUAUACUAGUCAGUUAUGUAUGGGGUGUUACAGCAACCCUA